AAAUUGAAGAGUUUGAUCAUGGCUCAGAUUGAACGCUGGCGGCAGGCCUAACACAUGCAAGUCGAACGGUAACAGGAAACAGCUUGCUGUUUCGCUGACGAGUGGCGGACGGGUGAGUAAUGUCUGGGAAACUGCCUGAUGGAGGGGGAUAACUACUGGAAACGGUAGCUAAUACCGCAUAACGUCGCAAGACCAAAGAGGGGGACCUUAGGGCCUCUUGCCAUCGGAUGUGCCCAGAUGGGAUUAGCUAGUAGG
rnacentral:rRNA from 1 species